CAAAAUAUUGAGUCGCUAUAAUUAGAUGAUUAUAUAAUUUUUUGAUUAUAGAGGAAAGUCCGGGCUUCACAGGGCAUAAUGCUGGAUAACGUCCAGGGGUCGGUGGAUAGAUAUAUGUUUAUCCGCUAACUACGGAAAGUGCCACAGAAAAUAUACCGCCUUGAUUGUUUAUUGAGGUAAGGGUGAAAAGGUGGGAGGCGCAAGCCUUUAAUGUAAGAGCCCACCGCUGCUAUGGUGACGUAGCAGGCAUGGUAAACCCCAUUUGAAGCAAGUCCAAACAUAUUGCGUUUUAAGAUGACCCGUCUAGCAAUUAGGUAGGACGCUUUAGGCGCUCGGUAACGAGUGGUCAAGAUAGAUGACUCAGGUUUGGUUUUUUUUAAUAAUUUGGCCAAACUCACAAAACCCGGCUUAUUUUUUGUAAU
rnacentral:RNase_P_RNA from 1 species